CAGCCGUAAACUAUGCUCGCUAGGUGUCAGGCAUGGCGCGACCGUGUCUGGUGCCGCAGGGAAGCCGUGAAGCGAGCCACCUGGGAAGUACGGCCGCAAGGCUGAAACUUAAGGAUUGGCGGGGGAGCACAACAACGGGUGGAGCCUGCGGUUUAAUUGGACUCAACGCCGGACAACUCACCGGGAACGACAGCAAUAUGUAGGCCAGGCUGAAGACCUUGCCUGAAUCGCUGAGAGGAGGUGCAUGGCGUAGACGUCU
rnacentral:rRNA from 1 species